AUGGUCAGCGGGAGCAAGUCUCCGAACAAGGAGGGGUGGGUCCACGGCGGCCAUGAUCUCCCACUGAGCUUCAGCUACGUCUCAUCCAACAACGACGAUUUCAGUGGCAGUUACCAGACCAACGAGAGUGAUCGUCACAGCGCCAACAGGAAGCUCUCCACUUCGGUGUUCGAGUGCUCGUCGCACGACGUGCUGGAAAACGCACCGGAGACGACCCUCGGCGCAGCCGCCCUGGCAUCGCACUCCGCGAACCUCGUCGUCUUCGCCGAGAAGCUCGCCAUCUCGCCCCGGCACAUCUGCCCCGACGAGAGGGAUGCGCUGUACGGCAUGCUGACUGACAGUAUCCGGGCGUCCCUCCGAGCACGCCUAAGGCCGCCGUCGUCCGCAGCUCGGAAGAAGGGCACGCCCUGCGAUCGCGUCCUGGCCGCCGGGUGGGCUGACACGGUGCAGGGGAUCCUCGGAUGGCUAGCACCGGUCGCCCACAACACUGUGCGGUGGCGGUCCGAGAGGAGCUUCGAGCAGCGGAACGUCGGCUCCGGCACGAGCGUUCUGCUCCUGCAGACGCUGCACUUCGCUGACCGGGACAAGACCGAAGAUGCCAUCAUCGAGCUGCUUGUUGGGCUGAAUUACCUGUGGAGAUACGGGACUCAGCUCUCCGCAAAGCCAAAAUUGGAGUCAGUGGGUGGCGAUGUUUACCAUGAUCGAGCUGAUUACAUAGGAUGA
rnacentral:rRNA from 1 species